GGUAAAUAGCAAUAGCUGUGAAAGUAGAUACAAACAGAUCGAUUGUUAUGACUGAUCGAUGAGUAUUAGGUAAUCGGCUAUAAAGGCUGAUUUGCAGUUAAAUGUUAUAAGUGAACGGAAUGAUUAUAUAUAUAAGAAUUGGUAAGAACUACUUAACAAUUAGAUGGUACAGAUGAAAAAUAUGGAUAGAUAAAUGAGAAUGCAACUGGUGGAUAGAUAGUGCAAAGAGAUGAGAAGAUAUAGUUGCUAUGCUAUAAGCACGCUAUUAGAUCUACACUAAUUAUUACAAAAGUGAGAGCGUCCUAAAGUGUCUCCCCGAUAGACAAAGACAAAUUUGAAAAGAAUUGAGAAAGCACUCCAUCUAUCCAUCCACCCCCGUGCCUUCGAGGGCACCUAUGUG